rnacentral:tRNA from 1 species
GCUCAGUUGGUUAAGCGUUUGACUCUUGAUUUCAGCUCAGGCCAUGAUAUCAGGGUUGUGAGUUCAAGCCCCACAUUGGGCU